UUUCUUGAGAGAUAGACCGAAAACAGCCUCUCUACCUGCACAAAGUAGGGAUAAGGCUGCAUACGCAUUACCCUCUCCAUGCCCCUAUUUGGGUUUGUUAUUGUUAUUUUUUAGAGAUAGAAGAUUGGUUUGCUGGUUAUACAAUGUACUGUAAUUUGUAAGAGAAGAAUUUGGAACAAGAUAAAAUGGGAAAUUUUAUUAUCAUCUUAAUUGUAGUACAACUCAUAUAUUCAAUUACAAUUCAAAAUUGAUUACUGUUGGUGGUCUGCAACUGCAAAUGAGCUUCAAUGGAAUCCUGAAUUUGUACUCUCUCCGUAAUUGCUUCUAAAUACUAGAUAAUAUAAAUAAUGCUAAUGAACAAAGUUUGUGUCAACUAAUCAAUCUUACCAAUCUUGCAGUGAAGGCU
rnacentral:lncRNA from 1 species